AGAGUUUGAUCAUGGCUCAGAUUGAACGCUGGCGGCAGGCCUAACACAUGCAAGUCGAACGGUAACAGGAAGCAGCUUGCUGCUUUGCUGACGAGUGGCGGACGGGUGAGUAAUGUCUGGGAAACUGCCUGAUGGAGGGGGAUAACUACUGGAAACGGUGGCUAAUACCGCAUAAUGUCGCAAGACCAAAGAGGGGGACCUUCGGGCCUCUUGCCAUCAGAUGUGCCCAGAUGGGAUUAGCUUGUUGGUGAGGUAACGGCUCACCAAGGCGACGAUCCCUAGCUGGUCUGAGAGGAUGACCAGCCACACUGGAACUGAGACACGGUCCAGACUCCUACGGGAGGCAGCAGUGGGGAAUAUUGCACAAUGGGCGCAAGCCUGAUGCAGCCAUGCCGCGUGUAUGAAGAAGGCCUUCGGGUUGUAAAGUACUUUCAGCGGGGAGGAAGGUGUUGUGGUUAAUAACCACAGCAAUUGACGUUACCCGCAGAAGAAGCACCGGCUAACUCCGUGCCAGCAGCCGCGGUAAUACGGAGGGUGCAAGCGUUAAUCGGAAUUACUGGGCGUAAAGCGCACGCAGGCGGUCUGUCAAGUCGGAUGUGAAAUCCCCGGGCUCAACCUGGGAACUGCAUUCGAAACUGGCAGGCUUGAGUCUUGUAGAGGGGGGUAGAAUUCCAGGUGUAGCGGUGAAAUGCGUAGAGAUCUGGAGGAAUACCGGUGGCGAAGGCGGCCCCCUGGACAAAGACUGACGCUCAGGUGCGAAAGCGUGGGGAGCAAACAGGAUUAGAUACCCUGGUAGUCCACGCCGUAAACGAUGUCUACUUGGAGGUUGUGCCCUUGAGGCGUGGCUUCCGGAGCUAACGCGUUAAGUAGACCGCCUGGGGAGUACGGCCGCAAGGUUAAAACUCAAAUGAAUUGACGGGGGCCCGCACAAGCGGUGGAGCAUGUGGUUUAAUUCGAUGCAACGCGAAGAACCUUACCUGGUCUUGACAUCCACAGAACUUUCCAGAGAUGGAUUGGUGCCUUCGGGAACUGUGAGACAGGUGCUGCAUGGCUGUCGUCAGCUCGUGUUGUGAAAUGUUGGGUUAAGUCCCGCAACGAGCGCAACCCUUAUCCUUUGUUGCCAGCGGUCCGGCCGGGAACUCAAAGGAGACUGCCAGUGAUAAACUGGAGGAAGGUGGGGAUGACGUCAAGUCAUCAUGGCCCUUACGACCAGGGCUACACACGUGCUACAAUGGCGCAUACAAAGAGAAGCGACCUCGCGAGAGCAAGCGGACCUCAUAAAGUGCGUCGUAGUCCGGAUUGGGAGUCUGCAACUCGACUCCAUGAAGUCGGAAUCGCUAGUAAUCGUGGAUCAGAAUGCCACGGUGAAUACGUUCCCGGGCCUUGUACACACCGCCCGUCACACCAUGGGAGUGGGUUGCAAAAGAAGUAGGUAGCUUAACCUUCGGGAGGGCGCUUACCACUUUGUGAUUCAUGACUGGGGUGAAGUCGUAACAAGGUAACCGUAGGGGAACCUGCGGUUGGAUCACCU
rnacentral:rRNA from 1 species